UAUUAAUUUCCUUUCCAGACAUUUUUGCAUCCUUCCCUUGUGAACUAAGGCUCAGUCACAAGUUUCAGUCUAUGCACUGAUCUCUCCCAAUCACUUGGCUUUUAUUUUGUGAAUGCAGAAGAGAAGUGAAAGAAGGAGGAAUAGGUUGGGUACCUGACAUAAAGACAGAUUAUCAAUAAUUCAGUUGUAAAGGACUACUUUCUAUGGAGUUGCACUGGAAACUUGUGAGAUUUGCUGAUGUAUGGCCUCAUUUGACCAGCCUGGCUCUGUCUCCAGAGGUUGGAAAGUAUGAGAGGAAAACCCAAGGAGCUGCAGACUUCCCCUCUUACAGAAAAGACAUUUUUCAGAGUUGGCCAAUAUAACUCUAGAACAUCCU
rnacentral:lncRNA from 1 species